rnacentral:rRNA from 1 species
UGGGGAAUCUUGCGCAAUGGGGGAAACCCUGACGCAGCGACGCCGCGUGAGCGAUGAAGGCCCUCGGGUUGUAAAGCUCUGUGGGGAGGGAAGAAUAAGCCUGGGUUAAUACCUCCAGGUGAUGACGGUACCUCCUUAGCAAGCCCCGGCUAACUCCGUGCCAGCAGCCGCGGUAAGACGGAGGGUGCUAGCGUUGUUCGGAAUCACUGGGCGUAAAGGGCGCGUAGGCGGCUUUGGCAGUCGGCUCGUGAAAGCCCGGGGCUCAACCCCGGAGGUGCGGCCGAUACACCAAGGCUUGAGGCCGGAAGAGGAGGGUGGAAUACCCAGUGUAGAGGUGAAAUUCGUAGAUAUUGGGUGGAACACCGGUGGCGAAAGCGGCUCUCUGGUCCGGUCCUGACGCUGAGGCGCGAAAGCGUGGGGAGCAA